rnacentral:rRNA from 1 species
GAUGAACGCUGGCGGCGUGCCUAAUACAUGCAAGUCGAGCGAACAGACGAGGAGCUUGCUCCUUUGACGUUAGCGGCGGACGGGUGAGUAACACGUGGGUAACCUACCUAUAAGACUGGGAUAACUUCGGGAAACCGGAGCUAAUACCGGAUAAUAUUUCGAACCGCAUGGUUCGAUAGUGAAAGAUGGCUUUGCUAUCACUUAUAGAUGUACCUGCGCCGUAUUAGCUAGUUGGUAAGGUAACGGCUUACCAAGGCAACGAUACGUAGCCGACCUGAGAGGGUGAUCGACCACACUGGAACUGAGACACGGUCCAGACUCCUACGGGAGGCAGCAGUAGGGAAUCUUCCGCAAUGAGCGAAAGCCUGACGGAGCAACGCCGCGUGAGUGAUGAAGGUCUUCGGAUCGUAAAACUCUGUUAUUAGGGAAGAACAAACGUGUAAGUAACUGUGCACGUCUUGACGGUACCUAAUCAGAAAGCCACGGCUAACUACGUG